CAGAGAGAGGAGGUCAUAACUAGGUCUCAGAGAGAGGAGGUCAUAACUAGGUCUCAGUGAGAGAAGGUCAUAACUAGGUCUCAGAGAGAGGUCAUAACUAG